UUAAAAAUAACAAAUUUAAAAACACCAACCACCCAAACUAUAGACUUCUCACAGCAAGUCUGACACCACAAGGCUCCUGAACAGCUUCUACCCCCAUGCCAUAAGACUGCUGAAUUGCUAACUAAAUAGCUCCACGGACUGAGUUGACCUUUGUAUUUUAUUCUUGCACUGUCUCUAUGCACACUCACAGGGCCCCAACACACUGAGACUCUAACACAAAACACUCACUCCAGUAUCUGCUCACACACACACAUAUUUACACUGGCUCUACACACACCCACUCAUGUGUAAUCAUCAUAUACGCUACUGAACCAAAAUGGCGCCGAAGACCAUGGCUCACGUUUUACAAUCUCCCAACCAAAUUGUGCAGUUUUUUUUGCAGAACUUGGUGUACAUAAUGUUGCUGCUACCGUCUGUUAUGACCGAAAAUAACUUCUGGAUAUCAGAAAAGCGAUUACUCAAUCGCAGACUGGAAGAAACCUUUUCCUUUAACAAGUCUGACGAGAAGGAUAUCCUGCUUUCACCGGGAAACAGGCCCAGAUCCACGCCUUUUGCGUGAAGAAAAGACGCCAGAAAAGAAUCUGAGUAUCCGGAGGUGACAUCCUGCUAGAGCCGGAGGCCCCAACCAUGCAGUCACUGACAGACAGACAGACACUGGUCAGAGCUGGUCUAAGUCUCUGUUCACUUCCUAGCCCCCCCCCACCUGCUGUGCUCAGAGACUGUGGAUGGUGAACCCAGUGAACCCAGCAGCAACCAGACCAGACCUACCUUACCCCACGCCAAGAAACAAUCCCAUCACACUCAGUUACCCUGGGCUUGCAUCUCCCUCUUGCAAGUCCGCACUGUGCAGCUAAGGAGGGCACAUUGGACUUUUCAGUGGAGGUCAAUGAUCACUCUUGCUCAAAGACAUUUACAGCAUCAAAAACAAUUUCCAUGUGAUUAUUAUGCAAUUUAUUUAAUGACUCUGAGUAGCAUUUCUGAGCAGCAAUUUUUUUAAUAGAUUUUGCUAGUAUGGCAGUUAUUCUGCUUACACAAGUGCUGUUAUUCACUGACUGAGCCCAGGAUGAAAACAGGACGAAAUGUGUGUCCUUUUCACAUGGCGAGUCUGUCCGUCUGUCCACCCUCUAGGCUCUUGCCUGGCAGUAAGCAGCAACAUUAAGAGUAGCUAGCUGCACACAGUCUCUUAACAGGGUGCCAAACGGUUCUAGUUAAUGGAAGAGAGUGGCUAGGACCUGAAUUGAGCAAAUACACUAAAAAACAUCACAUUUUAGACCAUUAGCUGAGGGUUUGGCUACUUAUUAACCGAAGUCAACGGAAAGUAACUACUAAAUGGCAAAGCAGAGAAUCCAAUAUCGCCACAGAUGAAUUCUCUUGAUUCGUCAAACAAAAAGCCACUCAUAAUAUAUUCUAGGCCUAGCAACAUGGAAACUAGCAAGGUAGCCAUGGCAUGAGCUCUCUUUUCAGUACAGGCUUCCCCUGACACUAAACAGCCUAGAGCUGGAGAAGAGACCUCAACCACACCUAUAGGACUCUAUUCUCAGCACUUACGACCUAGAGAUCCUUUACUCCUAACCGUAUGAGUAAGAAUAAAAGCUAUGCAUGAAGCCCCAUAAUAGUCCCACUUAGUUGACAUAUUUCGGACACCCUCAUGGAGCGGUCCUAACCAGUUACCAGCAGGUGUCUUGAUAACAGAAAAACGCAGCGAGUCAGUGGUUCCUGCCACACAUGCAAUUGCAUUGGAGUUGUUCAAAUAAUGUUUUGAUAUUUCUUCAUGAUCAAAACAUGAAUAAUCUAGGACUUACAUGUAACAGUGUCUCUUGCCAUUUUGACAACGAUAUGCCUGAAUACUUUUAACCACUAGGCUGAUAAACCCAUUUUGUUUCUUUGAUUGUGUUAGAUGAAAGUGAUACCUUUCAAACGGUGUACAGUAUUGCAAUAAAGGCAAGUGACUUGA